UACAGAGGGGGCGAGCGUUGUUCGGAAUUACUGGGCGUAAAGGGCGCGUAGGCGGCCAACUAAGUCAGACGUGAAAUCCCUCGGCUCAACCGGGGAACUGCGUCUGAUACUGGAUGGCUUGAAUUCGGGAGAGGGAUGCGGAAUUCCAGGUGUAGCGGUGAAAUGCGUAGAUAUCUGGAGGAACACCUGUGGCGAAAGCGGCGCACUGGACCACAACUGACGCUGAGGCGCGAAAGCUAGGGGAGCAAACAGG
rnacentral:rRNA from 1 species